GAUGAAGAACGUAGCGAAAUGCGAUAAGUAAUGUGAAUUGCAGAAUUCAGUGAAUCAUCGAAUCUUUGAACGCACCUUGCACCCUUUGGUAUUCCGAAGGGUAUGCUCGUUUGAGUGUCAUUGUACUCUCACACUUCUAAUUCCUUUCGGGAUUGGGAGCGGUGGACUUGGGUGUUGCUGCUUUAGUUGUGGCUCACCUCAAAUAAGUUAGUGCAACUCUUGGUUGGACAUAGUCCGGCGUGAUAAGUGUCUUCGCCGGCGCCUCUGUAAGGAGGGUGGCCGAUCGGGAGCUCUGUGCUUCAAACCGUCUUCGGACAAUCUUUGACAACUUGACCUCAAAUCGAGUAGGACUACCCGCUGAACUUAAGCAUAUCAAUAAGCGGAGGA
rnacentral:misc_RNA from 1 species